AUGACCGGGGCCAAGCUGCCCGAUUUCCAGGCGGGCUUCGAAAAGGGCGUCACCAACCUCAUGGCCGGACUUGCCGGCCUCGACCUCGUCUACGAGGCGG
rfam:Kaistia sp. SCN 65-12 ABS35_C0094, whole genome shotgun sequence.